CCUAUCAGGUAGUUGGUGAGGUAAAGGCUCACCAAGCCGAAGACGGGUAGCGGGUGUGAGAGCAUGACCCGCCGCAUCGGGACUGAGACACUGCCCGGACUCCUACGGGAGGCUGCAGUAACGAAUCUUCCGCAAUGGGCGAAAGCCUGACGGAGCAAUGCCGCGUGUGGGAUUAAGCAUCUUCGAUGUGUAAACCACUGUCAGAAUAUAGAAAUACUGAUCAUAUUCAGAGGAAGGACCGGCUAAUUCAGUGCCAGCAGCCGCGGUAAUACUGAAGGUCCGAGCGUUAUUCGGAAUCACUGGGCUUAAAGCGUACGCAGGCGGAUUUGUAGGUAUCUUGUGAAAUCCCACGGCUCAACCGUGGAACUGCAGGGUAAACCACAAAUCUUGAGACAAGUAGGGGUUAGUGGAACGAUAUGUGGAGCGGUGAAAUGCGUAGAUAUUGGAAAGAACACCAACAGCGAAGGCACUUUACUGGGCCAGUACUGACACUGAGAGACGAAAGCUAGGGGAGCAAACAGGAUUAGAUACCCUGGUAGUCCU
rnacentral:rRNA from 1 species